ensembl:lncRNA
AAGAGAGCAACUUUCUAUCUGGUGGUAGAGUCGGAAUAAACUAUGUAGGUAGGAGUUGCCUGUGGCCAUGGGUCUCAUCUUGUUGGGAACUCACUUGGAGAGAAGGAAGCCAGUAGAUUGAGAGAAGCAAAGGCAAGCAAUGUCUUGAAGAAUCAGCUCUCUUUUGGUUGUGACUUAGUUCUAAACAACUGCAGCCCCAGAAGACGUUCAGGGGCAGAGGUGGUGCGCAUCUUCUGUUAUAAUUGACCUGGGCUUUGAGAUUUCUCUGUCAUGAUGUAUCCCAGAAUGUUGCAUGAUGGGAAGACCCUUGUUAUUCCUUCACCAGCCGAGCCAAACGGACAAGAUCAAACAGCUAUGCUCAAACACGGCAAUUGAUCCAGAACCAGAAGCUGGGACCCAGUGUUGCAGUUCAUGGUGUAAUUGCAGACAGGCUAAGAAAGCCCUGCCGCAUCCCCUGACCCCCUCUGCUUCCCGCCUCUCAGGAGCAGUAUCAACUGGCGGCUUUCUGCAAUCUACCUUCGUGGGACCAUGGCUUUUUUACUUAAGGCUAAAAUCUUUGUUUAAACACAAAACCUUGAGAGGGAUCAUAUUUAAGGUGGUACAAGGUGAAGAAAUCCUAUCACAGAAGGAAACUUUGAAAGAAUUGGAUCUGAUUUGGUUAAAAAAAAGAAGGAAGAAAGAAAAAAAACAAGGAGAGAUAUGUCUUCAAAUAUUUGAAGAAUUUUAAAAGAAGUCAACUUGCUUUUGCUUCUACCAAAAGCACAAUGGGAACCAAGAGUGAAAGCUGUCUGUUUUCUGUUCUACAUUAAGAAAGAAUUUACCAACACUUGACGCUGCCCAAGUGUAGAAUGGCCGUCCUGGGGAAGUUGUGGGUACCCCUUUAUUAUAAGAUCUCAGCAGGGAUACUGGAGACAGAGUCCUCUCCCUUAUGGGUUCUUCCAAUCCUAAAUUCUGUAGCUCUUUGGUUAAUGUUCUAUAUCUUUGUGCAAGUGUUUAUGGCUGUUAUUUGUGUGAUUAAGAAAAUUUUAUUAAAAACACUGAAAAACACAAAUAAAGUAAAAAUCACCCAUAAUCCCACCACUUAAAGAUUGAUCAAGGAAAGAAGCAAAGUCCUUGGCCCCUCUAAUUCUGUCCUCCAUUGUUCAUAGUUUGGCUAAAUUCAUUAAAACUAAAGGAAGGCAAUUGAUAAUAUUAAUGACAGUUAAUGAAAAGGAAUAGAUGACAUGGUAUUGGUUGAUACAUGUGUGUGCAGAUAUAUUUUUUCUGUCAUAUAUAUAUAUAUAUAUACACAUACAAUUUUAGAGCUGACUGAUUCAAAUCACACCUUGAACUACAUCUGAACCAACAUUAAGAAUGGAAAUUGACUUUUUAUAAAAAAAACUUCAUUUUAUGAUAUUUUAAAAUUUCCUCUUUUACCUAACUGCUAAAUACAACUGAGGGUUUUCCCUUUGGGGGAGUGUCUUCUGUUUCAUUUUGGCUUCAGGGUAAAAUGAGGCAGCGUGUGCGAGUGAGUGCAGACAUGAGGAGAGGUGGCAAUAGUGCAUUUACCCACGGGAUGCAAGGGUGAUCUGCGAGAGUGCUCCCAGAGCAGUUACUUGUUAUGUUUCCCCAUAAACCUGUUCCUCCUCUUGUCUUCCUUAUCUCAGGAGAAGGCACCUUCCAUGCAGUUGAACGGGCCAAGAACACAGGAGUCAUCCUUGAUUUCUCUCUUUCUCACACUCCACAUCCAGCUCGUCAGCAAGUCCUAAGGACCCUGCCUCCAAAGAGAUUCCAAAUCUGACCAUGCCCCUCCACCACCACUAUCCUUAUCCGGGUGACCAGCAUCUCCUGCGUGGGAUAUGAUAACAGACUCCCUGUUUCCUAUCUUGCUUACUAGAAUCCUUCUGCUUUUGGCACUCAGAGUAACUUUUUAAAUUAAUAUAAAUUCAGUCACGUCACUCCUCUGCUUAAAACUCUCCAAUGGCCUCCCAUCAGAUUUAGCAAACAUUCCAAACUCCUUACUCUGGCUAUAAAGCUCUUGCUGACCUGACCCUGACUGCCUCUUUGACACCCUCUCCUAUGCUGUCCCCAGCCAUCCUGACCUUUGGUUUGGUCCUCAUGGUCACUAAGCUGGUGCCCACCUGGGAGCCUCUUUAUUACUGGCACCCUCUGUCUGGAAUGUCACUCACUCAUUGAUGCUUGUGCAUGUCCUUCUUUUGAUUCAGAGCUCAGCUUAGAUGUCACCUCACAGAGAUGCUUCCCUUGAUGGCCUCAUCUGAAGUAGUUACUCUACAUCUCAUCCCCUUACUUUAAUUUUCUGCAUCCCAUCAUCUUAUUUUAAUUCUCUAUAUAGCUCUUAUAUGCUCAGAUUUAUUUCUCUCUCUUUUCUGUCUUCCCCUCUCUCUUACUUUCUUGUCUAUCUCCCCUGCUAGAAUGCAAGAUGCCCUUGUUGACCCGUGAAUCCUCAGCUCCGAGACCAAAGUCUG